rnacentral:rRNA from 1 species
AGCGGACAGAUGGGAGCUUGCUCCCUGAUGUUAGCGGCGGACGGGUGAGUAACACGUGGGUAACCUGCCUGUAAGACUGGGAUAACUCCGGGAAACCGGGGCUAAUACCGGAUGGUUGUUUGAACCGCAUGGUUCAAACAUAAAAGGUGGCUUCGGCUACCACUUACAGAUGGACCCGCGGCGCAUUAGCUAGUUGGUGAGGUAACGGCUCACCAAGGCAACGAUGCGUAGCCGACCUGAGAGGGUGAUCGGCCACACUGGGACUGAGACACGGCCCAGACUCCUACGGGAGGCAGCAGUAGGGAAUCUUCCGCAAUGGACGAAAGUCUGACGGAGCAACGCCGCGUGAGUGAUGAAGGUUUUCGGAUCGUAAAGCUCUGUUGUUAGGGAAGAACAAGUACCGUUCGAAUAGGGCGGUACCUUGACGGUACCUAACCAGAAAGCCACGGCUAACUACGUGCCAGCAGCCGCGGUAAUACGUAGGUGGCAAGCGUUGUCCGGAAUUAUUGGGCGUAAAGGGCUCGCAGGCGGUUUCUUAAGUCUGAUGUGAAAGCCCCCGGCUCAACCGGGGAGGGUCAUUGGAAACUGGGGAACUUGAGUGCAGAAGAGGAGAGUGGAAUUCCACGUGUAGCGGUGAAAUGCGUAGAGAUGUGGAGGAACACCAGUGGCGAAGGCGACUCUCUGGUCUGUAACUGACGCUGAGGAGCGAAAGCGUGGGGAGCGAACAGGAUUAGAUACCCUGGUAGUCCACGCCGUAAACGAUGAG